UACGAAGGGUGCAAGCGUUACUCGGAAUUACUGGGCGUAAAGCGCGCGCAGGUGGUUUCUUAAGUCUGAUGUGAAAGCCCACGGCUCAACCGUGGAGGGUCAUUGGAAACUGGGGAACUUGAGUGCAGGAGAGAAGAGUGGAAUUACCACGUGUAAGCGGUGAAAUGCGUAGAGAUGUGGAGGAACACCAGUGGCGGAAGGC
rnacentral:rRNA from 1 species